CGCAAGCCUGACGGAGCAACGCCGCGUGAGGGAUGAAGGCCUCUGGGCUGUAAACCUCUUUUAUCAAGGAAGAAGAUCUGACGGUACUUGAUGAAUAAGCCACGGCUAAUUCCGUGCCAGCAGCCGCGGUAAUACGGGAGUGGCAAGCGUUAUCCGGAAUUAUUGGGCGUAAAGCGUCCGCAGGCGGUCUUGAAAGUCUGUUGUUAAAGCGUGGAGCUCAACUCCAUUUCAGCAAUGGAAACUAGAAGACUAGAGUGUGGUAGGGGCAGAGGGAAUUCCCGGUGUAGCGGUGAAAUGCGUAGAUAUCGGGAAGAACACCAGUGGCGAAGGCGCUCUGCUGGGCCAUAACUGACGCUCAUGGACGAAAGCCAGGGGAGCGAAAGGGAUUAGAUACCCCUGUAGUCCUGGCCGUAAACGAUGAACACUAGGUGUCGGGGGAAUCGACCCCCUCGGUGUCGUAGCCAACGCGUUAAGUGUUCCGCCUGGGGAGUACGCACGCAAGUGUGAAACUCAAAGGAAUUGACGAGGGCCCGCACAAGCGGUGGAGUAUGUGGUUUAAUUCGAUGCAACGCGAAGAACCUUACCAGGGUUUGACAUCCUGCGAAUCCCUUGGAAACUUGGGAGUGCCUUCGGGAGCGCAGUGACAGGUGGUGCAUGGCUUCUCAGCUC
rnacentral:rRNA from 1 species